GAUGAACGCUGGCGGCGUGCCUAAUACAUGCAAGUCGAGCGAACGGACGAGAAGCUUGCUUCUCUGAUGUUAGCGGCGGACGGGUGAGUAACACGUGGAUAACCUACCUAUAAGACUGGGAUAACUUCGGGAAACCGGCGCUAAUACCGGAUGAUAUUUUGAACCGCAUGGUUCAAAAGUGAAAGACGGUCUUGCUGUCACGUAUAGAUGGAUCCGCGCUGCAUUAGCUAGUUGGUAAGGUAACGGCCUACCAAGGCAACGAUGCAUAGACGACCUGAUCGGGGGAUCGCCCACACUGGAACUGAACCAGCGUCCUUAGUCCUACGGGAGGCAGCAGUAGGGAAUCGUCCGCAAUGGGCGAAAGCCUGACAGAGCAACGCCGCGUGAGUUAUGAAGGUCUUCGGAUCGUAAAACUCUGUUAUGAGUGAAGAACAGAUGUGUAAGGAACCGUGCACAUCUUGACGGUACCUAAUCAGAAAGCCACGGCUAACUACGUG
rnacentral:rRNA from 1 species